rnacentral:rRNA from 1 species
AUUGAACGCUGGCGGCAGGCCUAACACAUGCAAGUCGGACGGUAGCACAGAGAGCUUGCUCUUGGGUGACGAGUGGCGGACGGGUGAGUAAUGUCUGGGGAUCUGCCCGAUAGAGGGGGAUAACCACUGGAAACGGUGGCUAAUACCGCAUAACGUCGCAAGACCAAAGAGGGGGACCUUCGGGCCUCUCACUAUCGGAUGAACCCAGAUGGGAUUAGCUAGUAGGCGGGGUAAUGGCCCACCUAGGCGACGAUCCGUAGCUGGUAUGAGAGGAUGACCAGCGAGACUGGAACGGAGGCGAGUGCCAGACUCCUACGGGAGGCAGCAGAGGGGAGUAUUGCGCAAUGGCCGCAAGCCGGAUGCAGCGAUGCCGGGUGUAUGAAGAAGGCCUUCGGGUUGUAAAGUACUUUCAGCGGGGAGGAAGGCGAUGUGGUUAAUAACCGCAUUGAUUGACGUUACCCGCAGAAGGAGCACCGGCUAACUCCGUGCCAGCCGCCGCAGUAA